GGGAACUGCAUUUGAAACUGGCGAGCUAGAGUUGAGUAGUGGUAAGUGGAAUUUCAGGUGUAGCGGUGAAAUGCGUAGAUAUNUGAAGGAACACCGGUGGCGAAGGCGACUUACUGGACUCAAACUGACGCUGAGGUACGAAAGCGUGGGUAGCAAACAGGAUUAGAUACCCUGGUAGUCCACGCCGUAAACGAUGUCAACUAGCCGUUGGUCCUAUAUACAGGAUUAGUGGCGCAGCUAACGCAUUAAGUUGACCGCCUGGGGAGUACGGCCGCAAGGUUAAAACUCAAAUGAAUUGACGGGGGCCCGCACAAGCGGUGGAGCAUGUGGUUUAAUUCGAUGCAACGCGAAGAACCUUACCUACCCUUGACAUCCAGAGAAUCUGUUAGAGAUAGUAGAGUGCCUUCGGGAACUCUGAGACAGGUGCUGCAUGGCUGUCGUCAGCUCGUGUCGUGAGAUGUUGGGUUAAGUCCCGUAACGAGCGCAACCCUUAUCCUUAGUUGCCAGCGAGUCAAGUCGGGAACUCUAGGGAGACUGCCGGUGAUAAACCGGAGGAAGGUGGGGAUGACGUCAAGUCCUCAUGGCCCUUAUGGCCAGGGCUUCACACGUAAUACAAUGGUCGGUACAGAGGGUUACCAACCCGCGAGGGGGAGUCAAUCUCAGAAAGCCGAUCGUAGUCCGGAUUGCAGUCUGCAACUCGACUGCAUGAAGUCGGAAUCGCUAGUAAUCGCGGAUCAGCAUGUCGCGGUGAAUACGUUCCCGGGCCUUGUACACACCGCCCGU
rnacentral:rRNA from 1 species